GAUGGACACAGUGAUUCGGAGAGAACUUCAAGCUGUUUACAGAGUCACCUGUUUCUUCAGUCUGCAGCAGGUGUCAGACUUGAGUGUUACCUGAGGCCCGUGUUUUGGAGGUGCCCUGCUGGGAGGGAGGUGGGAUUCCUGUUGGACUGGUUGAGCCUGUUCCUCCAGACAGACCCGUAUGAAGUGCGGUGCACUCCUCCUUGCACUGUUGCUCUGAAGACUGGCCCUUAUCUGCUCGUGCACAGUUCCACGGUGUGUUUCAAGAAGAAGUACUGUGCAAGGGCUAUAUUUAGAAAUGGUGACAUUGUCGCUAAUGUUUAUUUGGAUGGCCAUGCUGUAUGACGCGUGGAAAUAAUAUGUUAACUCAGUGAAUGUUGUUGAUCAUGAGUGAGGGUGGUGUUGAGAGUGAGAGAAAAGCUCCCGGUUAGCCACCGUAUUCAAGUGCAUUCAAGUAAUUCAUUACGUCUUUUGUUCGCUGGCUUCCCUCCAUGUCAAAGGAAAAACCCCAUUUGAGUCACGACUUGGUGAAAUAGCAUGUUAAUGAUGUAAAGCUUAAUGUAAUUGUGUGCAUAUAAGACCUUUAUGCAUACAUAACACUGAAAAAAAACACCUUAUAGUAUAAGUAUACAAGCAAUCUAUGUGACAAUUUAGGUCAAAAUGAUCCAAAUUGUAGUUGUAGCAGGCAACAUUGCAACAGGUUAGGUCAUGUGUCGAGUCAUUUUUGUAGUUAAAGUAUUGUCGCAACUUACUUCUGCGCAGCUCUGUGCUAAUUGUUAGCAUCAGUAAUGUGUCUGGAGGAAAUAGGAUGCAGCAGCCGAGCAGACUGAAUAACAUAGAAGUGAUUCAGAUCAGAUGUCCAUCUGUGAGUUUCCCCCCUUUUGGCAGGUGCCAGCAUGAUGAAGCCCUCCUUCGGUCUCGACCCCUAGAGAUGGACUUUGCCAUGCCCGGGCGUGACCUGGCACAUCU